UUGCAGAGAAAGAGAGAGAGAGCUGGAAGCAACCAGCUUGCAGCAGCCAUGGCCGCGAGCAUCAAGCCGCGUAGCUGCUGCAAGCGGCAACUUAGGGAGCUAGUGGCAAUGCGGAGCAGCAACGCGGAGGCGGUCGAAGGCGACAACGAAGACUAUCGGAGGCGGCCGGGAUGGCUGGUUUCAGCCAUGGCAGCCACGAAGCUGCGUUGCAGCAGCUGGGCCGCAACGCAGUCGGCGUCGAUAGGGCGAACAGUAGCCUCCGGAGGGGCCGAGGAAAGCCAUUGAGGGCGGCCGCGGCCGAAGGAGGCGGCGGCAGGGCCGGCAGUGAGGCGAUGCGGCGACUGGGCAGAGCUCGCCAUGCAUCCAUGGCAGAAGAAAAAGAAAUAGAGGAGAAGAAGAAGAAGAAGAAGAAUUAAAAAAAAAAAAAGAUGAAGCAUGGGAGUUGCAGGUCACGCAGGCGGAAAGCAGGGGAGAGAAGAAGAAGAAGAAGAAGAAGAAGAAGAAGAAGAAGAAGAAGAAGAAGAAGAAAAGAAAAGAAAAGAAGGAAGAAAAGAGAAGAAAAAUAAAAAAAUAAAUGGAAAAAAUUGUCAAAAAAAUCCCAGGAAAAUUCUAAAAAAUAGAGAAUUAUGUUUCAGUGAUAUCUCAGAGAUUUUGGUGAGAAAAACAGCUCGGGCAAGGGUUUCAAGGAUAGGGCACGCAUAUCGAGGAAAUCUGAGAUGCUAAGUUAAGGAUACUUUGAGGCUGAAGUUGAAGAGACUCGUGCAAAUUUUGAGGUUGGCAUGCAAAUCGAGGAAAGGCACGGAUAUCGAGAUAGCUUGAUAAGCUUGAGAAGAAUAUUCAAACGUUUCAGGUGGAGAUUGUAGCAGAUUCAAGGAUAAAUGAGGCAUGAAACGGCACUUAGCAUAGUGCAUGAAGAAUGAAAUGUAUGUAGCUCAUGUAUUCUGAAUGUUUUGAGAAAUGUUGAAGAUGUAAGAUUUGAUUUAUGAUCAACGUUAAGAUAUCAGGUUUCGAUCUUUGCUUCCGCAUUUGAUGUAUAUAGUGAUUCUCUUACGAGAAAAAUGAU